GAUGAAGAACGUAGCGAAAUGCGAUAAGUAAUGCGAAUUGCAGAAUUUCCGUGAGUCAUCGAAUCUUUGAACGCACAUUGCGCCCGCCAGCAUUCUGGCGGGCAUGCCUGUUCGAGCGUCAUUUCAACCCCUCAGGCCCUGGUGCCUGGCGUCGGGGCUCUCCCUCGCGGGAGGCCCCCAGAGACAGUGGCGGACCCGCCGCGGCUCCGAGCGCAGUAGUAAAAUUCUCGCUCAGGAGGCCCGCGGGGGGAGCUUUCCGGCCGUAAAAAACAGGCCCUCACGGGCCGAACCCACCAAGGUUGACCUCGGAUCAGGUAGGAAUACCCGCUGAACUUAAGCAUAUCAAUAAGCGGAGGA
rnacentral:misc_RNA from 1 species